rnacentral:sRNA from 1 species
UCAAAUCAGAGUGAUAUCAAUGAUUCGGUCAAGUCUUCUCCCGUAGCCCAUUCUAUUCUCUGGAUUUGGGGCAGGGACUCUGAUGCAUAUAGGGACAAACAGCAUAUUCUAUGGCCUAAAAGAGCAGAUUGUACAGAAAGCUACCCUAGAGUCCCUGUUGGUGGGGAAUUGCCAACGUAUUUUCUGCCUCCGGAAAACAAAGGACUCAGGCAAGUGCUGAUGGAUUUGGCAAAGCACCUGAUUCUGCAUGAUUGUCAUCUAGCGGUUCUUUGAGAGCACCAGCCUUGGACUUGAAAAGUUAAGUCUUUAUCUUGAAGUCACCCAAACUUUGAAAAUAUGAAUCUUGUUCCUUUUUCUUGUGCCAGGAUCCACGAACUCAGCAGUGAUGAUUAUUCUACAGAAGAAGAGGCCCAAACCCCUGACUGUUCCAUAACUGACAUCAGAAAAAGCCACACU